CAAUUUCCCUUACAACCUUGCUUUAGUCUGUUUAUUCUUUCUUAUGAAGUGAUUUGCCGAUUUUUUGUUGUGCCUUUGAACUCCACAUAAGUUACAUGUAUAUGACUGAUCCCCUACAAGCAGUUGUAUGAAGACUAAUUACCUGCACCAAAUUGUAUGAGGGCUAAUCACCUAGAACCACUUGUACGCUACACCUACAAGCUUGUUUUUGCCUUCAUAAUUUUUGUCUUCCAAUUUUUCCAUAUAUUUCCAAGGGCUAAAUGGUUGUAUGAGAGGGUUGUAACUUAACUUACAACUGGUUGCAGAUGAACAUGCCUUUCAGCCUUUAUUGAUGUUGUAGUUGCAGUUUUGUUCAUUUCAAAUUAUCUCGUUUACUUGUUGCCUAGAUUUUAGUGAACAUGCCUUCCCCGGUUAGUAUUCCGAGUGAUUAUUAUAUCUUCCACGAAUGAAUUUCCAUUAAAAAAAAUGACUUCCUGGGAUAUAAUUGACUGUGUACGCAUUGGACGCUAGUUUUUAGUUUAGAAAGCCAUUUUUUUAUUUAUUUAUUUUUGGUUAUUAUGUUUUUGUAAUAGAUCUGUAAAAAUGACUGAACUAUCUGUAUGCUUUGGCUGCCUUGCAUGCUUAUUUAUUUUGAGAAAGAUGUUCAUGUUUUAUGCCGAUUGGGCAGUCCUCUGGCUACGUUCCCUUUUUCUCUCCCUGCUUCCCUUUUUUUUGGUAAAUUUGAUUUUCAUUGAUAAAAGAAAAAAGUGUUAGUCUCUGAUUUCUACCUUUUAAUUUGGUGGUUUGCUUUCUUUCUUGAGUUUACAUAAUUGCUAUAUAGGGAUUUUGUAAAUUUUGUUAGAGCUGCUAUGUGCUCUUUAUGCAGGUUUUAAGUGGGGCCCACAGUUUGGUAAUCCAGACCAUUGUCUACAGAGAAGAUUUUUUUGAUGAACGAAAAGAAAAACAACGAAACAUGAUUCAACGAGGGAGACAUGUCCCAAAUGACAUCAACUGCUCCACAAGCAGCAGACGCCCAACCCACAAUGCCCAGCCCCACAACCAUAAUCCCAGACCUCUACCAGAGAUGUCUCAUCCCACUAUGAGAAUCACACUUUUACAAACCCAUACCUUAGCCAGCCUAUCCUGUAAGUCAUUGGCUUAGCGGUCCACAUGAGUAAAAGAGAUGUCAAAGGCCUUGCUCAGGUCUCUCGCCUCUUUGACCAGAUCUGCCACAUCUACAGCUGCUGGAUGAAUGACCCCAAUGGUGACCUUGGAAUCACCUUUCACGAUGACUAGCUUUGCCUGGUGAGAAUUUUAAUGUCUACGGUUUGAAGGUUAAGAAGAAAAAUACGACAAUGGUAAACAGUCAACUGAAAAAAGGUCAUAAUAUUGGUGUUUUGAAUUUUCUAAUCUAGGAUUUUUUGGGGCAUGCUCCAUAUACAGUACGACACAACAUACAAAUGGUGUAGGUUACCUAGCCAUGGUCUCACUUGUCAGAUUUGAGAAACUAUAUAUAUCAUACAAAGUUGCCAGAUGAAUGAAGAGUACCCCGAGAGGGGGGAGGGAGGCAGGGAGGGAGGGACGAGUGAGUUUUUACAAAUGUUGUAGGUUACCUAGCUAUGGCCCCUGUUGUUAGAGUUGAAAACUUGUGCAUAGUGUGCAAAGAUUUGGUCAACACACCAUAUAAGUCCUUUGCAAUUAUUUACUGAUUGGAAAGGUCACGUUCCACAUGCAACAAUCCAUGGAAACUAGUUCUUUAUUUGUGUUUAUGAGUUUUUAUUUAUUUAUUUUUAUUUUUUUGAGAAGUUAAUUUGUGUUUAUGAAUUAUGAUCAGAAAACAUUUUUUUUUUUUUUUUUCUAUUUUCAAUAUGUAAAUGGUUCGAUACAUAAAUGUAUGUAUUUAUGUUUAUGCUUGCUUUGACUAAAUUGAUCUUUCUCCAACCAAAAAAGAAAAGAAAAAGCAGAGUAUAUUUUCUUUCCUUAAAAUGUAAGAGAACUCGAGAACACACAGAGUGUGAGUGAGAAAGCGUGUUGCACUAUGAAGAGAAGUUUACAACUUUGAAGAGUUGAGUUCCAAAUGAGGAGCCUUCCACCUGAUAUAGACUCGGGGACUUUCUAGAGGUCCUACAUCAAUGGCUAGGAUUAUGCCAUGUGGCUUUCAUGCAACAGCUAAGAACCCUCUAUAAACUUUCUAGAAUUUUCCAAAUUAGUCUGGCUACCAAAACUCUCUAGAGAAUUUUGAAAACUUUCAGAGAUCUACUCAAACUCUAUGAUGUUCUAUCUAUUUAUAAAAUUCUCUUCACAACAAUUCUUUAGUACAUUCUCGAUUUGUCUACUCUCUUCUAAGGGGCUUUUUGGAUACCUGCAUUUGCCUGUAAAGGCUUUACAGGUUGUAAACACGCCUUUAGCUGUAAUAUGAAACCUGGCAAAAAAAGUGAUGUUUCAGAUUACAGGUAAAGUCUUUACAGCUAAAACGACAUUAUACAUAAUAAAACAAAAUGGUUGAUACACUCAUGAUGUGUGGGACUCAGGCCCACCAUAAUGUGUAUGGUACAUCCAAUCUGUCCAUCAUGUGCUUCCCUUGAUGUUCUCCUAUGGCCCUAAAAAACAGCUUGAUUGAUCAUCAAAUGGACCACACGAGAGGGAAGGAUGGGGUGUCCACCAUUAAAAACUUCCA